rnacentral:misc_RNA from 1 species
AAAGUCGUAACAAGGUUUCCGUAGGUGAACCAGCGGAGGGAUCAUUACAGAGUUGCAAAACUCCCAACCCUUUGUGAACGAACCUAAUAGUUGCUUCGGCGGCAGACCCCUCUGGGGCCUAGCCUUCGCGGGUACCCCGCCGGAGUCCUACAAACUCUUGAUUAUUUUGGCAUCUCUGAGUAGCUUAUAAAUAAGUUAAAACUUUCAACAACGGAUCUCUUGGUUCUG